rnacentral:lncRNA from 1 species
CGAGAAGCUGACUUUAAUCUUUUGCUUUGUCUCAAAGCCUAUAUUAGAUUAACCUCUUUUUUUUUCAUUUGGGAAUGACUGUUUAGCCAGCAGCAAUUAAAUUUUAAAAUUAAACUCUGCACAGUAUAUUUUCUAAAGACCCCUAGGCACUGUGGGCAGUAUUAGAGACUCUCCUGUAGAACCUCACUUCUUGCUGUGUCGUGGUUGCCAGGAAGAUGAAAUGUGUUUUAGACCACAUCAACUUGAAUAACAUACUGGGAGCUAUAAAUCUAUUCUUCUGUCCCUUCAGGGUGAGAUUUCAUUUUAGAAUCAGGACAAGAAAUUUUCACAGCCUAGAGGACAAAGGAAUUUGGUAUGAAAUACUGCUGAUUAUUGUAGAAUUUAGGACUACAAAGGUCCAAGUAUAUGAUUUAACUCCUUCAUUUUAAUGAUUAGGAAAACGAGAUGCCAAUUUAACAAUCCGUGACGCCUGCAGGUUUAUACAGCUCAGGUUUGUACUCUCUGUUAGUAUUUUCUCUAAUGUGCAAUUCUCUGAAUAUGGGCACUGGAAUGUUUGAUCUGGUUUCCUUCAGCAUGUUCUGAAUUUCAAUUGCUUUUCUCACAAAGUGACCCCCACCCCCAAUCCCUGAACAGCAAGUGUCUCCCAAUACCACAGUUCAUUCCUUUCUGAUUUCUGUUUUUUUUUUUUUCUUCUAUCUUCCUUUUUCUCCUACCUUUUACUUUGUUGCUUUUUGGUAGCUUUUACUUACUGAAAGUGCUGAUAUUUCUGCUUGCUGGAGAAUGAGCACAUUCCUGGAUUGGGGCUUCUGAUUCUGCCUUUUCCAGUCUGUUCUAGGGAUCUACCUACAUCUCACAGUCUUGGCCUCUUCUCUCUUGGUUGUUGGCCUAAGAGAACAAGGCUCCCUAACUCUAGCUGCUAACAGAUACCAAUAAAAGAAGUAGAAGAUGGUGCCCUGUGUUCUAUAUGGAUUUAGAUAAAAUAUGCUUUUUUUUUUUUAACACAUGAAGUGGUUUCAAAAAGCAAGUGGUUCUGUCUAAGAAAGCAAAGGCCUAAAUGAUAUUGAAGACAGUGGCUUGUAUUCCUAUUGUUCUUCCCUGCAUGCAAAACUCCUUCAAUUUUAUCAGCUGAUUCUGUCAUCAUGGUGCUGGGAGAUAAGUUAGAUUCAUAUUAUUUUUACCGUUUUAUAUGGGAGCAAAGGCUAGAGUAACUUAACUGAUGUGCUCAAGGACCUCACACCAGGAGAGAUGAAAUAAGCUUCCAAACCUGUGUUUUAGGACACUGAGCCCUGGACUGUACUGUUUCUCUGGAAUAUAGUCUGAUCAGGGGGCAAGACAAUGGGCACCCCACUGCCAGGUUGAAUAAAGUAAUUAAAUUAUCACAAAGCUUUUGGUACACACAAGGGGAAAGCAAAUGUUGACAGAUAAUAAAACAUGGGACUAGUUUGCUAUGGGAGAUUGUGUAACCUCUCCUUAGCUGAGGGUUUACCUGAAGGGACAGGUUUGUGGUUAUUCUCUAAAGCAUUCCAAAGCCAGAAGACAAUCUAGCAAUAUGAAUCAAUGACAUGACUAAUGGUAAUCUCAGACAAAUUACUCAGCAUCUCCAAAGUCAUUUUUCUUGUCUGUAAAUAAUAGGCAGGGAGGAUUAAAUAGUGUUUUGUAAAGAGUCUGGAACAGAAUGAAGGUAAUAAAUAUUGCCAAUGUUUUAAGGAUAACAAUGAUAAUAUAUUCCUUUGUAAGAGGAAAUAACAAGAUAAAUAUUUAGUGACAAAGAUACUUUUUACUGUUUUUGUAAGUAACAGAGAAAAGUUGGAAACAACCUGAAGCCCAGCAACAGAGAAUUGUAGAAAAGGGUCUGUUUGUAUAUCUUGGUGCAAUCUAGUUUAUUAGACAAUCAUUUAAAAGGACAUAGAAUAUGUUAUUAUGCAGUAAGAUGUUCAUGAUUUUUUACAUUUAAAAAAUCAGCUACAAAAUAUUCAGUAGAAUGUGCUUUUUAAUUAAAGUACAUGUGCGUGUGUACACAUACGUGUAUGUUUGUAUGCAUAGUUAUAGGUAUAGGUAAAAAUCUGGAUGUGUUGACAUAACUAUGUUAACCAUCAUUAACCCUAGGGAGAGAAUAAUGAAUGCUUUUUAUUUUCUUAUUUUUCCUUAUAUGCACUUAGUUUUUUUCAACAACAAACAUGUACUUCAAGUAAAAUAAAACUGUAUUUAUUUUUAAAAUUUCAGGUUUUCAUUCCUCCCUUCCUUUUCCUCGGUUUAGCAGAGCUGUGCUGCAGGGCAUUAGGAACAGACAGUAUUUACUAAAUGGUUAACAAGCAUUUUUUUGAGUGUCUUCUGCAGCCCAAGCCUCGUUCUGGAAGCUGAAUGUAAACAUAUAAGCAAGAUGUGCCAUGCUGUCCCCUGAGAGCUUGCAUUUGGUGGAGGGAAAACUCCCAACAUAUACACGAAGAAGGAAGAGUAGAUUCCAUCUCAAGAUGAGGUGGGAGUUUCUGGGAGUGCUAACCUUCCUGGCAACAUUCACACCCUAUUCCUCCAAGGACCCUGUGGUCUGAGAUCCAAUGUCAUUUGUUUUAAUAAAGCCGUCUUAUCUUGUAACAUGCACAGUCUGCUUAGAGGUAACAUGCUGUGUCAAUAUUGAUAAUGUAGACGUUGGUAUGAGUCAUUUCCUGAGAGCAGAGUAUUUGCCCUUGAAGGGAAGAGGGCUGGGAGUGAAAGCACUUUAAAGAAGAAACAGGCAG